CAAUAGCAUAUAUUAACGUUGUUGCAGUUGAAAAGCUCGUAGUUGAACUUUUGGUAGGAGCAACCUGGCCUUGGGCGCAUGCCCUUGUUUGCCGUGUGUCGUAUCUGGCCAUCCUUUUCCGCUUCGGCGGGAAUCCUUUACUGUGAGUAAACUGGAGUGCUCAAAACAAGACGUUUGUUUGGUACAUUAAAGCAUGGAAUAAUAAGAUAGGACCUGGUUACUAUUUUGUUGGUUUGCAUAGCUAGGUAAUGAUUAACAGGGACAGUUGGGGGUAUUCGUAUUUAAUUGUCAGAGGUGAAAUUCUUGGAUUUAUGAAAGACGAACGACUGCGAAAGCAUUUACCAAGGAUGUUUUCAUUAA
rnacentral:rRNA from 1 species